UACGGAGGGUGCAAGCGUUAUCUGGAUUCACUGGGUUUAAAGGGUGCGUAGGCGGGUAUAUAAGUCAGUGGUGAAAGCUCCGGGCUUAACUUGGAAACUGCCAUUGAUACUGUAUAUCUUGAAUGUCGUUGAGGUUAGCGGAAUGUUGCAUGUAGCGGUGAAAUGCUUAGAUAUGUUACAGAACACCAAUUGUGAAGACAGCUAACUAAGCGAUGAUUGACGCUGAGGCACGAAAGCGUGGGGAGCAAACAGG
rnacentral:rRNA from 1 species